rnacentral:rRNA from 1 species
UGGGGAAUUUUGGACAAUGGGCGAAAGCCUGAUCCAGCAAUGCCGCGUGUGUGAAGAAGGCCUUCGGGUUGUAAAGCACUUUUGUCCGGAAAGAAAUCCUUGGCUCUAAUACAGUCGGGGGAUGACGGUACCGGAAGAAUAAGCACCGGCUAACUACGUGCCAGCAGCCGCGGUAAUACGUAGGGUGCAAGCGUUAAUCGGAAUUACUGGGCGUAAAGCGUGCGCAGGCGGUUUGCUAAGACCGAUGUGAAAUCCCCGGGGCUCAACCUGGGAACUGCAUUGGUGACUGGCAGGCUAGAGUAUGGCAGAGGGGGGUAGAAUUCCACGUGUAGCAGUGAAAUGCGUAGAGAUGUGGAGGAAUACCGAUGGCGAAGGCAGCCCCCUGGGCCAAUACUGACGCUCAUGCACGAAAAGCGUGGGGGAGCAAAACAGGAUUAGAUACCCCUGGUAGUCCACGCCCUAAAACGAUGUCAACCAGUUGUUGGGGAUUCAUUUCCUUAGUAACGUAGCUAACGCGUGAAGUUGACCGCCUGGGGAGUACGGUCGCAAGAUUAAAACUUAAAUGAAUUGACGGGGUCAUAGCUGUUUCCU